CCUCUGACCGCGGUGGGGGUAAAAGGGCCUGGAGGAUUCCGUGCUAAGCACAGACCAGGCACCUGCGUCCCCACCUCUCUGAGCCUCAGUUUCCUUGUCUGCACAAAUGUCUGUAUGAGACGCCUGGCCCUGUCCGCUACCAGGUUGGGGAAGGUUUGCUCGGAGCUCCCCGGACUCAUCUCCUCCCGGGGACGGGCACCGGGACGCGCAGCAGUGGAACCCAGCUCCAGGGCUUGCUGGAGACGACACUGAGGGAAGCCGGGGUGCCCACGCCUGGCCCGGCAGCAGCAGAUGCACUCGGACCACGCCAGAUUCACGAGCAAUUCCAUCAGUGUGGCAUCAUGCCACAGCCCCGUGAGCGACCCACAGCCUGUGCCCCUCGGCCCCGGCCCUGAUUUCCCCACCUCGUCCCGAUCCCAGCAAGAUCCCAAACGCACCAUCCGAAAACCGGUUGCUCCUAACCUGUGUGUCCCCCAGCUACGCUGCCACUCUCUGCUCACUGGAAAAAUACACUGAUCAGGAAAUGUCUCUGCAGUGGCAUCUCCACUCCCCACCGCCUGGUUUCUCUUCUGCAUCCCUCAGAGUGAGGCCUCAACCCUCCCUGAGCCUCGGCCGCCCGUCCAGCCAUGCACUCUCUCUGGGGCCCUGUCCUGCUCAGCUUCCCCACACCUC